rnacentral:rRNA from 1 species
UCUUCCCUCUGGCUUCGUGCCUAAUACAUGCAAGUCGAGCGAACGGACGAGAAGCUUGCUUCUCUGAUGUUAGCGGCGGACGGGUGAGUAACACGUGGAUAACCUACCUAUAAGACUGGGAUAACUUCGGGAAACCGGAGCUAAUACCGGAUAAUAUUUUGAACCGCAUGGUUCAAAAGUGAAAGACGGUCUUGCUGUCACUUAUAGAUGGAUCCGCGCUGCAUUAGCUAGUUGGUAAGGUAACGGCUUACCAAGGCAACGAUGCAUAGCCGACCUGAGAGGGUGAUCGGCCACACUGGAACUGAGACACGGUCCAGACUCCUACGGGAGGCAGCAGUAGGGAAUCUUCCGCAAUGGGCGAAAGCCUGACGGAGCAACGCCGCGUGAGUGAUGAAGGUCUUCGGAUCGUAAAACUCUGUUAUUAGGGAAGAACAUAUGUGUAAGUAACUGUGCACAUCUUGACGGUACCUAAUCAGAAAGCCACGGCUAACUACGUG